AAGUCUUGACACGAGGUAAAUACCAUUCUGCUCGUUCUGAAAUUUUCCUACGUAAAACAGUUCCGGAGACUUUUCACGAAAGGAGAUCCCAAUGCAAGUAGUUCCUGUGUCCACAUUCAACCUCGCCAAUCCUCCUCCCGAUCCUCUGCUUUCUUUGCAGCAGACAGUGUUUAACGAAGAAAAGGCUGCGUUUGAGAAAGCGAUGCAUCAAAGCAAACAGUUAAGUCAUUCCUGCUCAACUUCUUGACAAGUUGUUUCUCUCUUUCUUUCUUCUUGGUUCUCUAGGGGGCAGCGAAUCCAUCCUUUGGCAGCUUCACACCACUGCGUGACACACCAGGCGGCCCUUUUGAAACUUAUGGAACUCUGGUACUCGCAGUUUUUCUGUUUCCUUUCACGCUCUUCAUUCGGGUUCUUUCUCUAGCCUUGUGCCUGCAAUGACGACGCUGUGGGACAACCUCCAGCAGAACAAAGCGCAGGUGAAAAAUCUGUCUGGAUCUUGUUCAGAGCGUGCGAAGUAUUAAGUUUGCUCGUUUCCUGUGCAGAUUGCGCUACUGCAUCAGGAAGAAGCAGCGCUUGGCCUUAGAUUCGAUCGGCAGGCAGCCAGGAAACAAGCCGGACAUGAUGGCACGCGAUGGAACUCAGAACGUACUCAGCAAAGAAUUCCCGAUUCUGAUCAACGUGUCCGAGGAAACACCGUAUGACGUGCUCUUAGUUUCCGCAAAGAGAUUGAAGAGGUCCCUCCAGUCGUAGGCAAGCAAAGUUUCGGAAGCUUCAACUCGGAGGCUUCUUCCGCUCGACGAGUUCAUGUAAGCCUUUUGUUAUUCUGAUCAUAGAAGUUGGAUGUUGCGGAUCCAGAGAGGCUACUUCAUGAAGCCCUCUAGAGUUCUCUUUGUCAUUGUGAAGCUUGAGAAUUCUGCAUGAUAAACUCCUUCAGGAUGUUUGUAACAUUUAAACACAAUUAAUUAUUUAAUAAUCAUGUUUAAGAGAUUCACGAAAAUGUGAUAGGGUAAGGCAAACACGAUCACCUGCUGCCCAUUCUAAAUUCUUCCUUCUCCUUGUGUGGGGAUGGGAGUGGAGGAGUUGACCUAGUAGCAUUUACUAAAUCUAACUUUGGUGUGUUUGGCUUUUACAGUAGAAUUGUAUUUUGUCAUGUGCACUUUGAAUAUUUUUAUUCAAAACAUAGUGUCUACUGAAUGUUUACUCAAUGAUAGUGGAAAUUAAUUGCUAGGAUAUUAUUACACCAUAUUUCUUCUACUUCAUAACCAUAUAUUUAAGAAAUGCCCAAAAAUUGAUUAUCACUUUGUUAUCAUCCACUCAUACAGCUUGAUAAUAGGUAAGAAUUUGGUCACAAAAUUUUUGUGAUAUAUAGUUCUCAAAUUGAUAGCUUUACAUCAUUUGAAGAUGGCAUGACACCAAAAAUAAAAAAACACUAUGUAAUUACAUCUCAUAAAAGACGAUGAUGCAAAUACACUAGAAUAUGAGUUGGGUUUAGACCAUUAUAAAAUAGAUUCAUUUUACCCUAUUGAUGAGUUGUAUUACAAUAAUAGUUCCACUUAGUAUGAAAGAAAUUGUUAAUUUAUGCAAUAUAAUCAUAUAAGCAUAUAUAUGGAUAUUUACUUUCUUGGUAGAUGAUAACAAUAUUAUUUUACUAAAGUUUCAAUAUAGAUUAAACAAGUUUAGGGUUAAGGUUUAUGAGUAGGUGGAUUUAAGGUUUAAGGGUGAUUUAUUUUUUUUAUCAAUAUAUAUAUAGUUGUGUUUGCAAUUUAUGAUGCAAUCCACAUUUCAUUCUCUCAUUAUUUGGUGGUCGAUUCAAAAAUUCCAGAGCUAAAAUAAUCAUAAAGUCAUGCAUUUUAAUUAAUAAAUUUUUUAUAAAGGAAAUAUUUAGAAAAAAAUUUAAUGUUAAACUUUAUGCAGAUAAUAUUUUGCCAAAAACUUUAACAAUGACUUUCACAAAUAUAUCAUAUCAUCUAAUAUUGUUUAACAAUAGUAAAAUUAAGUAUAUUUAACUUUUAUUUAAAGCCAUAAUUUCACUAUAUCACAAGGAAUGUGAGUGAAAAAGGUUUUUAUAUGACAUUAAAAACAAGAAAAGAACAAAAAACACAAUUUUAAUAUACCAAUAUUUUAAAAUACAUUAUUUGACAUUGUUAAUUGCAAUUACAAUUUUUUAUAAUACUAAUAACAAGAAGUACCUUAAAUUUCCUCUAAUAUGUAGUAAUGCAUUUAUAUUUUUAAAAUUUAGAUCUUAUUAUAAAGAUAAAACUUGUGGCAUUGAAGACUCAAAUCUUAGUGAGUAUCAUGAACAAAUAAGUUAAUGGAUUAAUUUAACAUUUCUAUUAGAACUUUUGCACCACAACAUUAAAGAGGAAGAUAAAUAUUAAUAACAAAGGAUAAAAAUUAAAAUCUAUAACACCUAUAAAAUCAGCCAAGAUCAUUAAGUAAGUGCAGAAAAAACUUCAACAAAGGAAACUUAUGAAGAAAAUUAAUAAUGUUCUUUCUCUAAUUAUUUUUUAGUUUUUAAUUAGAUAUAGGGUCUUUAACAAAUUAUGUUUUAGAAGAAAUACUUCUCACCUAUAUUAAAAUACACUUUCUAUAAGUGUAUCUCAUAGGAAAAAUUAAUUUUUUAAAGGGAGGUAAUAUUUUUAAAAAAAUAUAUUUUAUAAUUACAAACAUUAGUGUGUUUCACAAGAAUUCUAUUUAUAAUUCAAUGUGUGAGAAUGCUGAAAGAUGGUGAAUAAUAAAAUUAUCUGGAAAAAUCAUUGUUGUUUUGAAGUCAAAAGAAAAUGUAAUAGCAACUAACUCUAUCUCAUACUUAUCUGACUUUUUAAAUAUCCAUAAUGGAAAUACACAUAUGAGAAUUUAAAAAUUAUAAGCUUUAUUGAGAUAAUUGAUAAAAACAUGCAAAUAAAGAAUUUAAUGGUUCUUCGUAAAGAAUUAAUUUUCCUUAAAAAAAGUAUUUUUACCAUCCAAAAAACUUUCAGCAUUUUAAAAAUAAUUUUCUCUAAGGAGAAAAGUACCUAAGUGGAACAAAAUUUUUCAUUGAUCUUCACAUUAUCAAAAUUUAUUUACAUCAAAUAUUAAUGUGGCAAAUUUGGACAAAUAUUUCUAUCAUAAAUGUUUUUAUUACCUUAUAGAAAAUUUUAAUCUAUUAGAAAGGAAUUUUUAUUGAUCAGAAAAUGCAAAUUUCAUAUAUAUAUUAGGCAUUAUAUGUUGAAUAUAUGCAAAAUGGCCAUCCACAUUAAAUUAUAAUGCAAAUAGAAAAAAUAUAUAAAUUUGUGCAAAAAUUAUACAAGAUAAAUUAUUUAUUUAGACAUCAGAUUCUAAAUCAAUUGCCAUAUUAAAAAGAAUCACUUAUAUCUCAAAAUAUAAUCCCCUAAUGAAGUUAAGGGUUAAGGGAAUACAAGGAAUUAAUAUUUUUCUAUACAACUUAUACAAUUAAAUGAACACAUUUUUCAAGUACUUAUGUGACAUGCACUUGAUUAUUACAAAAGCUGAUUUGAUCAGUGAAAUUUAAAUGUUAGUCUCUAUUUUUUAUAUGAUUAUAGAGGGGCAUAUAAAAUUCAAUCCUAAAAGUUUCCUAGAAAAAUUAUUUAAGGGAACUAAUUUCUAAAGAAUUUUUGAUGGCAUAAUUUCUAAACAUAAUAACAUAUAAAGACUUUACAAAAAGGAUAAUUUUAAAAUUUUUUACUUUUUACUAGUCAAAACAUCAUGAACUAAUUACACAACACCAUGAACUUGAAACCAUCUAUUGUUUCACAACACAUGAAACUUGCCACAAAUCACUUAACCUUUAACAUACUUCCAAAACAAUAUUCAAUUUUAACAUAACUCUUAAAAGUCAUAGAUCUAAAUAAAGUGUGAUAUUUUAAAGUUGGAACAUGAUAUUUUGCCUUCCACACAGGACAACUCAUCUUCAAAAAAGUUGAUUCUCAACUAGAAAAAUACAGUGAACUUCUUUCAGAUCUAGCAUUGGAAGAAACAUAUACACCCCUGGUUCCAAGUCCACUCCGUCAAGAUUUUAUAUUAGUUUUUUAAUUGAUUAAUAAAAUGAGAAUCUGCGAGAAUGGCGAUGACACACGCGCUGUCGACGGGAGGAGGCUUCUCGUCCAGGACAAGAGCAAAGGCACGGUAGAGGCGCUCGUCUGGGGCGUUGUGCCACAAGCUAGCUCUGAUCGACGCAAGGAUUGCGUGGAGACUAAGCUUGUGGCGGCCAUGAUAUCCUCAAGGAACCUUUUGUUUUCUUGCUUCCUUAGUUAUUUCCUUGACUCUGGAAGCACAGAUUAUCUAGAAAUUGGAAACACGACCAGAGUUAUUGGCUGGUAUCAUUUACAUCCGCACAUCACUGUUCUUCCUUCUCAUGUUGGUGAGUUUCAUCCGCUCAGGACUCCAAUUUUGGUUUUGGUUCCAACGGGAACGGUCUUCCGGAUGAAGCCUCCUCGUCUCUCUCGGUACUUGAGCAUUUGUUGAAAGGGUCACAACUCUUUUCUUUUUUCUUCUUACAGACAGUUGUGGACAUCAACUAUACUCGUAGGAUAUCGGAUUCGUCAAGCAAUGAAAUCGAGCAGCGGCUUUCGCCAGGCAUCGAAGAAGCAAUGCAUCUUUCAAGUCUUGACAUGAGGUAAAUACCGUUCUGCUUUCCGUUCUGAAAUUUUCCUACGUAAAACAGUUCCGGAGACUUUUCACGAAAGGAGAUCCCAAUGCAAGUAGUUCCUGUGUCCACAUUCAACCUCGCCAAUCCUCCUCCCGAUCCUCUGCUUUCUUUGCAGCAGACAGUGUUUAACGAAGAAAAGGCUGCGUUUGAGAAAGCCAUGCAUCAAAGAAAACAGUUCAGUCAUUCCUGCUCAACUUCUUGACAAGUUAUUUCUCUCUUUCUUUCUUCUUGGUUCUCUAGGGGGCAGCGAAUCCAUCCUUUGGCAGCUUCACACCACUGCGUGACACACCAGGCG
rnacentral:lncRNA from 1 species